rnacentral:misc_RNA from 1 species
GAAAUGCGAUAAGUAGUGUGAAUCGCAGAAUCCAGUGAAUCAUCGAAUCCUUGAACGCACAUGGCGCCCGCCAGCACUCUGGCGUGCAUGCCGCUUCGAGCGUCAUUUCAACCAUCAAGCCCCCGGGCUUGCGUUGGGGACCUGCGGCUGCCCGCAGGCCCUGAAAACCAGUGGCGGGCUCGCUGUCACCCCGGUCGUAGUAGUAUCAUCUCGUCCAGGGCGUGGCUGCGGGCUCCGGCCGUUAAACCCUCUCAAACCCAAAGGUUGACCUCGGAUCAGGUAGGAAUACCCGCUCAACUUAA